ACCACAGCUCAUGGCAAUGCCGGAUCCUUAACCCACGGAGCGAGGCGGGGGAUCAAACCCACAACCUCAUGGUUCCUAGUCGGAUUCGUUUCUGCUGCACCAUGACGGGAACUCCUACACCCUUUUCUUCUUGCCCCGGGUCAACAUAUCCAGCUUCUUUCUGGACACUGUCUUCUGGAUGGCUCCCAGGCCACCCUUAUGAGCCUUGUUACUCUCAGUUUGCUUCUCUAGGACUCCCCCUUGUCAGUGAAAGAUACCAUCAUCCAUCCACCACAAAGGCCAGAAACCUGGGCUUCAUUCUCUCAUCUCCCACAUCCCAUCAAUCUCUAAAUUGUCCAUUCUGCCUUUGGGAUAUCUCUUCACUCUAAUCUCUCUAUCCCCACUGCCUCCAACCUGGCUCAGGCACUAUCACUUCUGACCACAUCUUUAGACUCUUCACUGCUUCCUGCCUCCUCCCCCUACACAACUGCACAGCCCAGAUGUGAUCUCAUAAUUCCCCUGCUUCAAGCCCAUGGAUGACUCUCCAGUACCCUAGAGGUAAUAAAUCCCAAACUCUUCAGCCACUCCACAAGCCCCUUUCUAAUUGCCACCUUUGGCCUCUGUGGAUUCAAUUUGCCUCCUCUACUAGUCUGAUCUCACUCCUCCCUGCCUAUAUUGUCCCCAACCUGCCAAGCCACAAGGGGACUCGCCAUACUCAAAAUGCUUGAUUGUGUUAAGUUUUAGAGGUAGUCAUCAAAAGCUAUUUGUUGACAACUACUAUACAUUUGGCCUUGGUUGCUGGAGACAGUAAAGGCAGAUGCAGUCUGAUUAAAUAGAGAAUUGACUCUUUAGAGAAGACCCCAUGUUAAAAAUACAGAUUCCAGAGUUCCCUUUGUAGCUCAUUGGUUAACGAACCCGACUAGGAUCCAUGAGGGUGCAGGUUCAAUCCCUGGCCUCACUCAGUGGGUUGGGGAUUCGGAGUUGCUGUGAGCUGUGGUGUAGGUGGAAGACAUGGCUCGGAUCUCACGUGGCUGUGGUUGUGCUGUGGUCCAGCAGCUGUGGCGCCGAUUCAAACCCCUAGCCUGGGAACUUCCAUAUGCUGCAGGUGCGGCCCUAAAAAGCGGGGGGGGGGGGGGGGAACCCACCAGAUUCUCUGAUCUCUGAAUUUGAAUCUCCAGGGAAGUUCUUAGAAGAAUCUCAGAACUGGGUAAGAUGGGGAAGACCUAACCUGAUUCACAUAAGAAAUAUCCAGAAUAGGCAAAUCUAUAGGAUCUGUGGUUACACUAGAUUGGUGGUUACCUCAGGGGCUGGGUGAUGGGGAAGGGAAGGGGAUGCAGAGGCCCCAGCGAUGAUACCUAAGGAGUGCGAAGUUUCUUUUGGGGUUGAUGAAAACUUUAAAACUGAUUGUGGUGAUGAACUUUGUAAAUAUACUAAAAGCCACUAAAUUGUACAUUUUAUUUAUUUAUUUUUGGCCAUAUACAUGCAGUAUGCAGAAGUUCCUGGGCCAGGGAUCUUACCUGCGCCACAGCGGUAAUACAAGCCAUAGCAAUGACAUCGCAAAAUCCUUAACCCACUGUGCCACCCAGGAACUCCCAAAUUUUACAUCUUAAAUGGGUGAAUUGCAUAGUCCAUGGACUAAAUCUCAAUAAAGCCAUUUAAAAACAAAACAAGGAGUUCCUCUUGUGGCUCAGUGGGUUAAGAACCCCACAAAGUGUCCGUGAAGAUGUAGAUUCAACCCUUGGCCUUGCUCAGUGGAUUAAGCUUAACACAAGCUGCAGUUGAUUUAUUUAUUUUUGGUCUUUUGUCCUUUUAGGGCUGCACCUGCGGCAUAUCGAGGUUCCCAGGCUAGGGGUCGAAUCAGAGCUGUAGCUGCUAGCCUACACCAUAGCCACAGCAACGCCAAAUCUGAACUGAAUCUGCAACCUACACCACAGCUCACAGCAACACCAGAUCCUCAACCCACUGAGCGAGGCCAGGGAUCGAACCCGCACCCUCAUGGUUCCUAGUCAGAUUCGUUUCCGCUGUGCCACUACAGGAACUCCAUAAGCUACAGUGUAGAUGUGGCUCAGAUCUGGGCGUUGCUGUGGCUGAGGCAUAGGCCAUAGCUGCAGCUCUGACUCAACCCCUAGCCUGGGAACUUCCAUAUGCCAUAGGUGUGGCUAUAAAAGGACAAACAAAACAAAAGCUUGGACUAGGCUCUACGGGGAAGGCACCAAUCAUCUUUCCCAGGUUGGGUGGUGCCUAUUACCUAGUGGAAUAGUCAGCAAGUACUUACAGAUGUAUUUAAUGUAUAUGCUGGAGGGUACUAAAUAAAUGAGCAAUUGCUAUCAGGUGUGAUUCCCCUAGUACUACACCCCUGGUGACAGGAGCAUAGUGGAAGGGAAGGUUCCUGAAGAAAUGUGUGAUGUCUAGGUUGAAGCCUAUCGGGUGACCCAUCAGGCAUUACCAAGGCAAGACACAGGGUGGAAGAGUGUACCAGAGGGGCAAGCAAGCCCUACAGGUGGUUUGGUAAGGUCCAAUUUUUUUAUUGUGCUUUUUGGUUUUUUGUUGUUUUUUGGCGGGGGGCAAUUAAUAAAAAUAUUUGUAUUAGAAUAUUUACACUGAAGGAAGAAGGAGGUAUCUGCACCAUCAAAUGUCGAAUGUUGGGGUUCCUACUGUGGUGCAGUUGGUUAAGAAUCUGACUGUAGAGGCUCGGUUUCUAUCCCCGGCCCAGCACAGUGGGUUAAAGGAUCUGGCUCUGCCGCACCUGCGGCUCAGAUUCAGUCCCUAGUCCAGGAACUUCCAUAUGCCAUGGGUGCGGCCAUUAAAAAAAAAAAAAAAAAAAAAAAGUGGAAUGUUGAAGAAAUAGUUAAAAUAAAUAAAGAUGCUGAGCGUGGUUGGGGCUGGCUCAGGCACUCACAGAGGUCUCUGCUUAUCAGCUCCAGGCUGCAGGGGCCACUGUCUGGCUAUACUGGCCUCCUCCCCCACACAGCACAGCUCUGCCUGGGACACAGUCUCUCAGGUGCUGGUACGCCAGCAAGCUCACUCCCAACUUUCCUGAGAAGUUAGGUGACAAGAGUGAGACUGGAGAGAGGAACACACUUAAAAUUUUUAUGAACCACAUUGAGGGAGCUGGAAUUUUCCCUAAGAGAAACUGUAGCGGUGGGUUUAUGCUUUUAGCAAUCAUAUUGCACCUUGGAGAAUGGAUGGAGGAAGACAGGGAGGGGGGCAGUUCUAGUGUUUAAGUGAGAAGUCAAUAUAUCCUAAAACUUAGUGAUGCCCAUGGGGAUAAAGAGAAGCAGACAGAAUUUAGAAAUAUUUAGGGCAUUUAACUGAGAAGAUUCUGAUGGUUGGGAGGAGGGGACAGGGGAAAGAGUCUAGGAUAAGGCCCAGUUAUAUGGGUUGAGUACCUGGGCAGUUGGUAACCCCAGGAGCCAUGAAGGAGAAACAGGAGAUAAGUUUGAUUUGGAGCAUGCCAUUCUAAAGGUGGCCAGUCAGCAGUUGGCUCUGGGGGUCUGCUGCUAAGGUGAGAGCUGUGUGAAUCCUUGGCACACAGCCUCGGCAUACAGAUGGAAGCCAGAGCAAUGGAUGAGGUGGUUCAGAGAGUGUGUUCCAAGAGACAGGAGAAAUGGGCCUAGAAUGGAAGCCUGUGGAGUGAUGUUUGUUAGAGGAUGCUUGAGGAGGAGGUAGAGGAGAAAGUCGUAAGGAUAUUCAGAGGAGCUAGCUAGAAAUGUAGGUGUUAGCACGGCAAUUCAUCUGCUUAUUCAGCUGCUCCAUGUCAGCAUUUACUGAGGAUCCAUACACCCUGAGUAUCUUCAGAGAUAAGUGAGACUUGACCAUGGACAUCACUCAAACUGACCCCGUUGCAGCCUUCUGAAACAAGCUCUGAAUACAUGGGGAAGAAGAAUGAGAGACUGGAGGAAUGGUAAGGUUGGAAGAGGGCAAAGGAGAGGAGGGGAGUGAGGGGAACCUCCAGUGACCACCAACGCAAUAAACUAUCCUGGACUACCUCUGCCUGGCCCCCUUUUUUUACAGGGCACACUCCUUAGUUUCCUCUGGGGAGAGCCCUAACAAUGGUGGCCAAAGCACUGCUGUGGCCUUGAUGGACUUGAUUGAUGGGACGCUUCUCAGAGUGUCACAGACCUUGGAGGCCUACUUCCUUCUGUCCCCUCACAGAGGCUGGCAUAGGUUCCACAGGAUAGCUGGGCUCAGGCUUUCCCUGCCCUGGUGCCUUUGACUCCUGAUGGUGUCCUCAACCUCCCAGCACCUGAGGCAGUAGACUCUCAAUCGUCCAGAGUCGCAGGAGUGAGAGUGAGUGCCUCUCCGAACCCGGGUGACAGCAGGGUAGGAGGAAGGAGGCCUGCUGGGAGCAGCUCUGCCCUGUGGAAAGACCCAUGGGAGGCACCUGUGAGGCUGUGUGUGUGGAGGAGGGCAGGGCAUACAGGGGGGCCGGGAGGAUGAGGGCUCUCCCUGCCCUCCACCAUCACAGACCUGGACCUGGGCCCGGAGGGGCAGGAGGCCAUCCAGCCUGGAUUCAAGUCACUGAUGGAGAGGGGCUGAGUGGCUGCCCUGGGGCAGAUCCAUACUGCUCUGAGCUAAGUAGGCUUGAUGGGACAAAGCCCUGAGGCUCUUUUUAUCUUGGCCUUGACUGUCAUUCAGCUGUACUUCACAGCACCCUGCUUCCAGCUCCUGCCCACGCUGACCCUCACAUCCACCCUCGGCUAGAGCUGGAUCCUAGGUUCUGGACUCAGGACUCUUCUUGUAGAGGACAGAGUUAGAUGCCCUAUCCCUUCCCAGAAUCGGAAAGCAGAGGUGCAGAGCCACUCAAAUUUCCAGUGACAGUCCCACUUGACCCCUGGCUGGGAUAUUUUUCCAUCCUACAUUUCUUGCCUAGGCCCUGACCUCUCCUGUGGAUUGAGCGGUGAGCUCGUGCUGACCCAGCCAUCCCUGCCUGCACUUUCCCAGGACCUGGUCAGCCAGUGUUCACUUCCUCUUUCCCUGCCACACAGGCCACACAGGCCACACACUGGAUGCCAGUAGACAACAGUCCUGCUCUACCAGUGAGCCUCUUGUGGGGCCUCAGGUCUGAGGGGCUCCUAGGAGUGGUUCUGGGACUGCAACCCUGCAGCAGAGGCCCCUGGGUCAAGUCCAGGCCAUGGCUAGCUUUGGGUGCUGGCUUGGUCUCUAUUACUUGUUUGCCUUCCCCACCCCCUACCACCCCAGCCGAUCACUCAAAAAAUUGAGCUGCACCACCCCUCCCAUGCCACCCUUCAUGGUUACAGAGGGAGCACAGGGCUGUGCUGAUGUGCUGAGGGGCUGCUGCCUGCCCCCUCCCCCGCCCAACCGGGGUGAACCACCUGCAUCCACACACAGGUGUUUCCUGUGCGCCUUCCUGUUGCCGGUUUUUUUUUUUUUUUUUUUUUUUUUUUCCCCUGCUCAGCUUGGCUUCCCCAGCAGGUGGUUAAAGGCCCAGCCAAACUAUUUCAUACACAGCUCAAAAACACAGGGGGGCAGGGCUCUCUGGGGAUCUGGGUCACCCCUGAGGGGAGAACUGUUGACACUUCAUUGGCUCUUCCUGAGUGCGGGCAUACACUCUCCCCAGGGUGUCACACUGCUGUGCUACAGCCACAGGUACUGGGACACCAGAGCAGGCUGAGGGAGUAGGGAAGGCCCUGCUCCUCUGCCCCUGGAUAGUGAAGCUCCAGAGGGAGAGGGGAAGGAUGGAAGACCUGUUCCUCCAGCCUUGAGUACAGGCCUCCGUCAAGCCCUCCGUGGAACACGUCUGUCCUCCUGAAGCCCUGCCACCUCACCCUCAGGUUCCUCUCACUGAACUCUUAACCUUCUGGGGUUAAGAAACUCACGGGAGCCCUCUUUCCUGAAACAGCCCAGGUCUACUGGCUGUGGGAGGCUGUAGGGUUCAGUCAGAUUUGUCAUUACAAAGAGGUAGCUGAGGGAGAGGGAGAGCUUACUGUUUAGAGUCACAAGGCAGCCACCUGGUCAUCUCCCUCCCAGGCCCCAGCUCUUCCCCUCUACAAGAAUCUCCUCUCAACCACCCAGUGCUCUAGGAGCUUCUUGUGCUCAGCCCUGGCCAUAGGAAGCUGCCAAGGCUGAAGCCAAGACCCAGAAGCCUGGCAUUUCCUCACGGGGUUCUGCUGCCCCCUGGUGGCCAAAAGCACCAGCCACCCACACACCUUUUCCUGGGGGUUUCCUCUGCCUCCUGGCAGAGUGAGCUGGCUGCUAGGGACCCAUUCCCAUGACUGGCACCCUUUGUGGGCCUGCUAUAGGCCAACUCCAUGGUUCCGCUCCAGCCUAGCCCCACAGCCUCCAGGCCCUGGGCACUCCUACCUGCAGAAUGGGCCUCGUCAGCAACACUCCACCACCCUCUUCCUUUGCCCUCUUUUCCAGCCUAGUUCCAGUCUCUGGGGCUCUCUUCCACCCAGAUUUCCAGGGCAAAGCACAUGCCAUUGUCACGGGUGGAGUGUGGACAUACUAGUGUCAGUAAGGGCCAUAGCCAGAAGGUUCUGGAGCAGGUCAGGAGUGCACCAGUCCAGGCUCUGUAGGAAAGGCAUUUUGUUUUUUUAUUCUCUGUAAAACUCUGUAAAUAAAAUACAAAACCAUGGGAAGUGGUGGGGCAGAGGCAGGGCGGCCGGGCCCGGGACACUGAUCUAUGGCAAGUGUGCUGAGCCGAGGCUGGGAGGCAUUUGACUGCGGCACUGACUCUACCAACCCCAAGGACAACAGAAGAAUAUAUUAGAUUUUCAUUGAUAAGAAUCUGUGAGGGAGGGGUGUCUGGAGCCAGCCCUCACCCUCCCUGCCAGUGCCUCAUAAGCCCUAAAAGUGGGAGGGAAGGGGCACUGGGGGCCAGUGGGUGGGAACUUUAGAAUGCUGUGCUGGCCAUGCUGCCGGGCCCAAAGAUGCGGGGCAGGGCAUCCAGUGACUCCUCCAACCGUCGAUGGGCAGACUGACCCUCUUCCCCUGUAAUGGAUAAGGAUAAGGUCAGGGGUGGUCCUAGCCCCAUCCUUGUCCUCCCACCCCUGACCGCAUCUCACCCCUACUCCCAGCAGCCAAGAUGUUCCAGAACUCAACUUUACCCAUAUCUCCCAUUCCCCAGCCUCACCACAUUGUUGCAGGCUCUGCCGAGCAGCUUCCCUCACAGCCUCUGUGUCUGUUUGGCACAGGUACACUAAGGGCUCAAUGCCUUCAGGAGCCUACCCGAGGAGAGAGCAUUGAGGUGGGCCCGGUGAAGCAGCCCCCUCUGCUGCGUACCUGGGCCCCCGCUCCUGGCUGCCGAGGACGCCUGCGAAGGACUGGCUCCUACUGACCCGGGCGCUGAGCAGACGGCGCUGCGGCCGUACCGACAGGGACAUCAUGGAAUGAGUCCGUGCGGGGCUCCCUGCAGAUCCCCACACCAAUCCGAGGAAAGGAGCCCCAGCCUCCCAGGAACCGGCCCGCACCCCUUGAGACCAGCCCGGGAGCCUUCGCAGCCCCAGGCCGGGUCCUACCUCUCUUCUUGGCGCUCAUGGCUGGUGGGAGCUGCCAGAGGUCUUGGCACAGCAGCUGGGCUGGAAAAGAGCAAAUCUCAACCUCAGUGAGGCUCUCAUUUCCCACACAAGAAGUCCUCAUGUAUGGCCCUAGCCACUUCUCUCUCUUCCCAUGGAGGAUGAGUUCAAGCCACUCCCACAUGAAAGAUGAAAACAACCCUGGAAACCAUCCAAAUGCCCAUCAGUAGAUAAUGGAAUGCUAUACAAGGAAAAGAAUGAACAAUGUACAACUACAUGCAACGAUAUGGAUGAAUCCUACAGACAUAAUGUUGCGUGAAAGAAGAAGAUAUAUGUAUGAUUCACACCACAAGAGAGGAUAUAUGUAUGAUUCCCUUGAUAUGAAGUUCAAAACAGGUAAAACUAAUCUAUGGUGACGGAAGUCAGAAGAGCAGUGACUAUUAAUAGCAGUGACACUACUCUUGGGGAGUAGACACUGAGACUGGAAGAGGGCACUAAGGGGCUUCUAGGGUACUGAUUAUGUCCUAGUUUUCCUAAUCUGCUUCUAUUUUCUGAUCCUACAUGGGUGUGUUCCCUUGUGAAAAUUAAUUGAGCUGUACACUUAGGACAUGUAUGCUUUCUGUGUGAAUAUUAUAUUUUAGUAUAAAGUUAGCUUUAAAUAAAUAACUGCAAAAAGAAAUGA